CCUACGGGAGGCAGCAGUAAGGAAUAUUGGUCAAUGGACGGAAGUCUGAACCAGCCAUGCCGCGUGCAGGAUGACGGCCCUCUGGGUUGUAAACUGCUUUUAUAGGGGACGAAAAAAGGGGAUUCUUCCUCACUUGACGGUACCCUAGGAAUAAGCACCGGCUAACUCCGUGCCAGCAGCCGCGGUAAUACGGAGGGUGCAAGCGUUAUCCGGAUUUACUGGGUUUAAAGGGUGCGUAGGUGGGUCGGUAAGUCAGCGGUGAAAUCUUCGAGCUUAACUCGGAAACUGCCAUUGAUACUAUCGAUCUUGAAUCGUCUAGAGGUAAGCGGAAUAUGUCAUGUAGCGGUGAAAUGCUUAGAUAUGACAUAGAACACCAAUUGCGAAGGCAGCUUACUAUGGAUGUAUUGACACUGAGGCACGAAAGCGUGGGGAUCAAACAGGAUUAGAUACCCUGGUAGUCCACGCCCUAAACGAUGGAUACUCGACAUUUGAGAUAUACUUUAAGUGUCUGAGCGAAAGCAUUAAGUAUCCCACCUGGGAAGUACGAUCGCAAGAUUGAAACUCAAAGGAAAUUGACGG
rnacentral:rRNA from 1 species